rnacentral:snoRNA from 8 species
UGUGUGCUGGAGGAUGAAGAUACGAAGUGAUCCAUCGGCUGAGUGUUCUGUCACUAUGCUGAGACUCGAAUGGCUGACAGCACACA